rnacentral:rRNA from 1 species
GAUGAACGCUGGCGGCGUGCCUAAUACAUGCAAGUCGAGCGAACAGACGAGGAGCUUGCUCCUCUGACGUUAGCGGCGGACGGGUGAGUAACACGUGGAUAACCUACCUAUAAGACUGGGAUAACUUCGGGAAACCGGAGCUAAUACCGGAUAAUAUAUUGAACCGCAUGGUUCAAUAGUGAAAGACGGUUUUGCUGUCACUUAUAGAUGGAUCCGCGCCGCAUUAGCUAGUUGGUAAGGUAACGGCUUACCAAGGCAACGAUGCGUAGCCGACCUGAGAGGGUGAUCGGCCACACUGGAACUGAGACACGGUCCAGACUCCUACGGGAAGCAGCAGUAGGGAAUCUUCCGCAAUGGGCGAAAGCUUGACGGAGCAACGCCGCGUGGGUGAUGAAGGUCUUCGGAUCGUAAAACUCUGUUAUUAGGGAAGAACAAAUGUGUAAGUAACUAUGCACGUCUUGACGGUACCUAAUCAGAAAGCCACGGCUAACUACGUG